GACGAACGCUGGCGGCGUGCCUAACACAUGCAAGUCGAGCGAGUGAAUCUCCUUCGGGAGUGAAGCUAGCGGCGGACGGGUGAGUAACACGUGGGCAACCUGCCUCAUAGAGGGGAAUAGCCUUUCGAAAGGAAGAUUAAUACCGCAUAAGAUUGUAGCUUCGCAUGAAGUAGCAAUUAAAGGAGCAAUCCGCUAUGAGAUGGGCCCGCGGCGCAUUAGCUAGUUGGUGAGGUAACGGCUCACCAAGGCGACGAUGCGUAGCCGACCUGAGGGGGUGAUCGGCCACAUUGGGACGUGGACACGGCCCAGACUCCUACGGGAGGCAGCAGUGGGGAAUAUUGCACAAUGGGGGAAACCCUGAUGCAGCAACGCCGCGUGAGUGAUGACGGCCUUCGGGUUGUAAAGCUCUGUCUUCAGGGACGAUAAUGACGGUACCUGAGGAGGAAGCCACGGCUAACUACGUGCCAGCCGCCGCGGUAA
rnacentral:rRNA from 1 species